CGCGGCCCAUUAGCUAGUUGGAGAGGUAACGGCUCACCAAGGCGACGAUGCGUAGCCGACCUGAGAGGGUGAUCGGCCACAUUGGAACUGAGAUACAGUCCAGACUCCUACGGGAGGCAGCAGUGGGGAAUAUUGCACAAUGGGCGAAAGCCUGAUGCAGCAACGCCGCGUGAGUGAAGAAGGCCUUCGGGUUGUAAAGCUCUGCCUUUGGGGACGAUAAUGACGGUACCCAAGGAGGAAGCCACGGCUAACUACGUGCCAGCAGCCGCGGUAAUACGUAGGUGGCGAGCGUUGUCCGGAAUUACUGGGCGUAAAGGAUGCGUAGGUGGGUAAGUAAGUCAGAUGUGAAAUCCCCGGGCUCAACCCGGGAGGUGCAUUUGAAACUGCUAGCCUAGAGUGCAGGAGAGGUAAGUGGGAAUCCUAGUGUAGCGGUGAAAUGCGUAGAUAUUAGGAAGAACACCAGUGGCGAAGGCGACUUACUGGACUGUAACUGACACUGAGGCAUGAAAGCGUGGGGAGCAAACAGGAUUAGAUACCCUGGUAGUCCACGCUGUAAACGAUGGGUACUAGGUGUGGGAGGUAUCGACUCCUUCCGUGCCGCCGUUAACACAAUAAGUACCCCGCCUGGGGAGUACGGUCGCAAGAUUA
rnacentral:rRNA from 1 species